UCGGGCCCGAGAAGCCGCUGGGCGCGGAUGACGACCGCGCCGCGGAGGAGGUCGAAGACGUCGCGCGGGUCCGGGAGCCUGCGGCCCGGA
rnacentral:tRNA from 1 species